CAGUUCCCUGCCUAGCAUGUUAGGUGCUUAGUUCUUCCCAUUCAUUGUAUAGGGAACCUACAUGCCUGACUCAGGCUUUGUGGAUCGCAGGGUCAUUUUUUUGUGAUUUUCUAGGUGACGAAGAGUUAGGCGUUGUUGCAUUCUGUUUACAACACUUAAGAUGGUGGCAAGUGAGGAUGGCAGCUGAAAGUAGGAAGCUUUUUGGGCCACAUAGGAAGAAGCGGGGAGUGAGAAAGGUACUCAGCCACCAACAGUGGUGAGCUGGAGCUGGUUCCCACCGGUUCGCAAGCCACCGGCAGCUGGGCAGCUCAGCUCGCGUGUCCUGCUGCUUUGAGCGGCCGCUUGUAAGCUGACUGAACAAGUGCCAGGUUCAACAUCCGGACAAGAGACAGUUAUACACACUGCUGCUCUCCUGCUGCUGUUUAUUUUGUUCGGCAAAAGCAUCGGUACUUAUAUCAUCCCCUUACUGGCCUCUGUGUUGUGUAAUAAGACUCGGUGGGAGAAGCCUGGAGAAUUCUAUCCUCAGCAUUUCCUCACCACAGAUGGAAAGUUUGUGAAGAAUGAGGCAUUCAUGCCUUUUUCAGCAGGUAACUUCCCUUCAAGGGCAGCAGUUUGCCUUCGUCUUGUAUCUUCCCCCUUCUAAAGCACCAUGUUGGAUCUCAGUCUGCCCUUUCAUUCAAGGAAAGGCUGGGCAAAACUCUCUCCAUGCUGCUCUGCAGUAGGCUAGACCAGUGGUCUCCAAAGUGGGGUGUGCAAGAGGAUCCUUGGGGGUGCGUGGCAGGAAGAGCACUUUUUUUUUCUUUGCUUCGUCAGGUGGGAGUCCGAGUGGUGGGGG